AUGGAUCUCUCCAUGAAAGUCUUUGUGGUCGUCCUCCUGCUUCUUGUGGCCACUGAGGACCAGGGACCAGUGCAAGUAGCUUUGGCGAGGGACUGCAAGUCACAGAGCUACAAGUUCAAGGGGAUGUGCGUGCGCGAUGACAAUUGUGCAAGUGUUUGCCUGACCGAGGGUUUCCCCAGAGGCAAGUGCAAGGGCUUUGCAUGUUCCUGCUACAAGGAUUGCUAG
rnacentral:rRNA from 1 species